rnacentral:lncRNA from 10 species
GGCAUCAGACAAGAGAAGAGAGCUUGUGCAGGAAACUCCCGUUUUUAAAACCAUCAUAUCUUGUGAGACUUACUAUCACGGGAACAGCACAAGAAAGACCCACUCCCAUGAUUCAAUUACCUCCCACCAGGUUCCUCCCAUGACACAUGGGAAUUGUGGGAGUUACCAUUCAAGAUGAGAUUUGGGUGGAGACACAGCAAAACCAUAUCAACACUCUUAGACACAAGGAUCCACACAGGAUUACAUAUUCUAGAGUCUGAGUUGUAGUAGAAGUGAUGGGAACAGUGGUGAAUAUCUAUAGCACAAUAUAGGAUGGUGGUCGGCAUGAGAAAUGCUGCCUGUGUUGAGGUUUCUCAGCCAGUAGGAAGUAAUCAUGGCCUUUUUUAUUCUUCCUGAUUUCUUUUGGUCUUCUCUGAGUACCUUUUGAAUAAAACACAUUCACACAAGAUCUCCCAAGGUCAAACAGUUAUUCUCAAGGAUUGGACAGUCUAAACACAUAAUAAAGGACAGAGACAUUUCUCUAAGGCAAAUAUGUCUAGC